rnacentral:misc_RNA from 1 species
UUUAGAUGAAUUACAUAAAUAAGAAAUAGCAAACUUAAUACAAUAACAAUAAUUUUUCCUCGAUGUUCAUAAUUGAUAAUUAUUUUGUGAGGAAUAUGCAAGUGUGAGUUGUGUGGAAAUGAAAUUCCAACAUUGAAAAGAGAUAGGGUAAGUGAAGGACAUUUAAGUGGAAAGGAUCCAUAGACCUAUUAAUUUAAGCCUUUGGGUUUGAUGUGGUUCUUUCACAAGGCCCAUCGAAAAUGAUUCUCCCUUGAGGUUUUGGGCUCUCCCAAUCUCCACAAGUUGGUAUCAAAGUUAGAGGUUUAGCAUGGACGAGUAUGGAGAUGGUGGUAUGUGACUCUUGUGAUCCUUCCAUACAUGGAUGGAAGAGCAAGGAGACACUCGAUAAACCAGUGGAGUGGUGACUCCCGAUAAAAGAAGCCAAGUGGAGUAGUAAGGUGCACUCGUAAAGAAAAGCCAAUAGGUGGAGUAGUGACUCUAGGUAUGUGGCUCUCAUAGGCGCAUGCUUUAUGUGGAAGUGAGCUUGAUGGAAACCCUUUUAAUGGGCUUAGUGGAGUAAUUGGGCUAUUAGUGACAUUGUAAAUACUAGAGUUAAGUGAAAGGCUUUCGUUUGAAAGAAAGUAGGCUUGUGAAGGCCAAUGUGGAAGAGACUCACACUUGAGGGAGACAUUGUUGGGAAUAUGCAAGUGUGAAUUAAUUGUUUGGAAUAAAAUUUGUACAUUGGAAAGAGAUGAGAUAAGUGAAGGACAUAUAAUGAGAAAGGACUCAUAAACGCAUUGUCUUAAGAUUUUGGGUUGGAUGUAGUAUCAAACCCAAGAGUGUGGUUUUUUCACAGGACCCAUCUAGAAGGAUUCUCCCUAGGCAUUUUGGGCUAUUUGGAUCUCAUCAAUUUUAUUUGUAAAUACAAAUACUAUAUAAUUGCUCCUCUUGUUAUUGAUAUUUGAUCAUUAUUUUCCUUUUACUGCUAUCAAAUUAUAAGAUUUGAGUAAAUGUUAUAUUCAUAUAGAAGAAUGGGUGAGUUCAUUAUGCAAAAAUUUUAAUAAGGACAUGAUAAGGACAAUUAUGUCCAAAUAUUUUUAAAAAUCCUAACAGUUAUUAGUUAUUUGGAAAAAAGCUGCAAAGUAGAGUUGUUUUAAUCAACAGUCGUUUGAGCUUCUAACAUCUAUCUGCUUUUGAUUAAAGAAUGUAAAAGAACACUUUUUUUCAAGCUAUUCGGGUUGAUCAGUAAACAGCUACUCCCAAUUGCUGAACCAAACAUCCUCUAUAGCUUCAAUAUUUAUGGUUCACUCAAAGUAUAAAACUGCAGCAAGAGCGGGAUCGUUUGUUG